rnacentral:lncRNA from 1 species
AGUGGAUACCACAAAAUCUUAUGUUAUACUUAAUAAAAGUAUGAAUAAACUCUUAAGUAUUAGUAAAUCUAUUGUUUUGAUGGGAUACGCAUUCUACAAAACUAGUUUCAAUGAUCCAACCGUCAAACAUGUUUGUAUAUACUUCGAGAUCGCAUACGCCAAAAAUUGCAAAAAACAAACAUUCAGAGAUCAAGUAAUGGGACAAAAGUUUUCAACGGUUAUAAACGAAAAAUCACGAUUUAACGGUCAUUUUAACUCCGAUUUUGAUGAUUUUUUACAACUACACUCCUUGACCCUAUAUGAAUACAAGUAAUGAAUUC